AUACGGGAGGCAGCAGUAAGGAAUAUUGGUCAAUGGACGCAAGUCUGAACCAGCCAUGCCGCGUGGAGGAUUAAGGCCCUCUGGGUUGUAAACUCCUUUUAUCUGGGAAGAAAUCCAUAUAUUCUUAUGUGGUUGACGGUACCAGAGGAAUAAGCACCGGCUAACUCCGUGCCAGCAGCCGCGGUAAUACGGAGGGUGCAAGCGUUAUCCGGAUUCACUGGGUUUAAAGGGUGCGUAGGCGGGUAAGUAAGUCCGUGGUGAAAUCUCUGAGCUUAACUCAGAAACUGCCGUGGAUACUAUUUGCCUUGAAUAUUGUGGAGGUGAGCGGAAUAUGUCAUGUAGCGGUGAAAUGCUUAGAUAUGACAUAGAACACCAAUUGCGAAGGCAGCUCACUACACAAUGAUUGACGCUGAGGCACGAAAGCGUGGGGAUCAAACAGGAUUAGAUACCCUGGU
rnacentral:rRNA from 1 species